ACGCGCAGCCCCGUGCAUACCGCCCCCGCGCCGCACGGCUCUGAGACCCUGGAAGCUGCACCGGCCGCGGCUGACGGGGUUCGUUCCCCGGGCGCUCGGCCCCUCCAUCCCCCACGCCCCACCGGAGCCAGCUGAGCCCGGGCUGCGGUGCCCGGCUCCACCACUGACCGGAACUGCCCGCCUCCCGGCCGCCUCCCCCUCGGCGCCCACAGUCCGCGUUCUGGCCGCCCGAGUGCCCUCUGAGCGCGGUGCGCCCGCCCCCACGCCCCGGCCGCCAGACUGCAUGCGGAUCCUGGCUGGGCACCCUCCCCCGUGUGGCUGUCUGGCUUUCCAGGAGGGCAAAGUGGGGGUGGGGUGGGGUGGGGAGGUGCGUGGGUCGAUGGCAGAAAAAAAGCCACGUGGGGGGGGGGUUGACAAUUGGUUGCACCCAAAUCCUCAAGCGCCCCUCCCCCGGGGUCUGCAUAGGGUAAGCGUGCUGAGUGCCCUCCCUUGCCCCAUGCUCCUGUGAGGAAGGCAGGGUGGGGUGGGGAGGCACCCCAAGAUCCCAGGGGCUCUCGGGGGAGCAACUGGCGCUCCAGGGAUCGGACUCUGGUUUCAGGUUUGAGAGGAGGGAGCUUAUGGCGGGUAAACAGAGGCUGCGCCCCAGGCGUGGCUCAGAAGCAAAGCUGUAAGGAGGGGUUCGGCUCGCAGUGCUCCCCCCUCCCCGCAACAUUCGUGAGUCUCUGCUUUUCUGCCUGCCCCACCCCGGGGCGUCCCGAAACCGUCCCAGUGACCCCAGCCCGCAGCGUGGAUACGAGCAAACCUCCCCCCCCCCCCCCCUAGGAUCCCGCCCUCUGCCAACUCCGCAGCCGGGUAGAAGCGAUCCCAGUGGGAGCCCCAGUGGGGGGACGCGGCUGAUUUCGCUUUUGGAAAAGCCCUUGAUCCAGAGCAAGCCUAAGCCCACGUCCCCAGGCUGGUUGACCUACAAUUGGAGGGUGUGCGAGGGCGGGCUGGGGCGGCGCGUCUGCGGGAGGAAAACCCGCUUCAGAGUGGGCAGAGGAAGCCAAGCAAAAUGUCAGAUAAGAAGAGCGGAGAGGGAGGAAGAGAGGCGCUUAUUGCAGAGAGGGAGGUGGGAAGGCGCGGAGAAUGCACCGGCUGCCAGGUGACUUGGGGGCUAAGGAGAGAAGAGGCGGGUGCGUGGCGGGCACCUGACCUCCAGGUCCCCAGCCCAUCCCUCCCUGGAUCCUGGCGCGGCCAGACACCGCGGGUGGAGGAGACGGCGCGGAGCUGGGGCGGGAGUAGCGGUGGGGGGUGAGGACUGGGCGGGAGGGGCGGCGCGCGGGGACCAAAGAACUCAGCGCCCCAGGCCGCACCGGGCGCGCUGCACACCUGGCAUCCAGGACUCCCCAUCUGCUAGGAGCUCGCCUCCGCUGCGGCCAGGGGUGUGGGCUUGGAGAGAGAUAACGACACCGCCAGAGGAGUGGAUGGCUUCUGUCAACUGUGGCAAUGAACUCUAUGAAGGUUUAGGGUGCUCCUACUGUGUGCUGAGCGCAGGCUCCAGCUGCUGGGCCCAGGAACGGCACCGGCACCGACUCUGAUGGCAUCCUCACACUAGGAAAUAGUCCAGUGUAUAUCGUUGUAUAAUAAAUUAACCAUUGGAACAAUCUAUGCAAAUUCGCCGUGCCCAGGAGGGUGGUGGAAGCAGCCCGGGUUCUGGAGAAGCUGGGUCUGGCUGAGCAAGGCACAGACCGACAGGACGAUGGGUGAUUUUCCACUGCUUCCUGACGCAAGGAUGACACCCCCUUCCUGUCCCACAUUCCCACAAUACAGAGAUCAAAAUGAACAGUAACAAUUUAAAAUGUAGUUUAGUGAUAUACUUCAUCUGGGCUAGAACGGUUUGCAAAUAACUGAAGGCUGUCCUUAAACAUUCACAUCAUUAAUUUCACAAAUGUCAGACCUGGAACGCUGCCUUAUUGAAACAAGUGCUUUGUAAUGUAACUUGUGGUUGUAGUCAAUCCUCACGAGAGGACAUUUUUUUCCAUUGAUUUUUAGAGAGAGUGGAAGGGAUGGAGGAGGGCAAGAGAGAGAAAGAGAAACAUCUAUGUGACUCAUGGAUUGGUUGCCUCCUGGGUGAAAUCUGCAACCAAGGUAUGUGCCCUUGAACAGGAAUGGAACUCACAGACUGACACUAUAACCGCGGACCAACAAAUCAGGGCUGUAAUGUGUCUUUAUACUAUUCUGAGAGAAAAUUCAUGAAUAUAACUUACUAUGCAUUGUUCUGAGAACAACGCACCAUUGUUUUAAAUCGCCAUAAUGCUCAAACUACAAUAUAAAGGGGAAAUACAAGUUACAAAAUUAAUAAUAAAGUAAUAUACAUUUCAAAUGUGAAUGCUCUGGCUAUAUUUCACUGAAACACCCAAAAUACUGUCUAAAAUGCUUAACAUUCUUUCUAGGGAGUAUUACUGGCCCGAUGUGAAUCCUGCAUUAUGAGUUCCAGGCAAAUGCUAAAUAAUGGGAACGCUACUGAUAUUCUAAAUUCUUAACAUCGCAGUGGAUGUGGUAUUCUUGCCCUGAUGUGGACCCUUCCCCCAUUGACUCUGGAUUUGGUCAGGUGACUCGCUCUGGCUAAUAGCACAUUGGCAAGCAUGACCAGGCAGAAGCUUGGUGAGUACCACAUAUGCAGGUUUGUGCACCUGAAACCCUGAGAACAUGGGGUUGGGAAAAAGCCAGUCUAACUUAGUGGAAGAUGAAAGGCUUUACGGGCAAAGCCGAGAUAUCUUGCCACCUGGAGGGUCCCAGGCAUGCGACAUGCCGUCUUGGACUUCAGCAGGAGCAUCAGUUGGGGACAGCCACCUGAUUGAUCUCAGAUGAGUCCAGCGAAAGAAUCACUCAGAUUGACAACAGAACUAUGAGCACCAUUGCUUUAAAUCACUAUAUUUUAGUUGGCUUGUUGCAUAGUAAUAGAGGAUGGAGAAGUAUUAAUUACAAUGCCACCUGAUAGAUGCCAAAAUGAAAGUCCACCCAAGAAGGUUAUCUUUGCUUACUGACUCCAUAUCUUCCUUAUGAGUUCAAUAAAAAAACACACAAAUAAACAAACAAACAAACAAACAAAAAAACCCUCAUCUAUGCCUCUGGUGGAUGUAAGAGUGAAUUAGACUUCAGUAACCCCAAACAUCUUAUCUACGUUAGUUGCAAGUUGCGCUUCUUUCCAUUUCCCAGAUGUCCCUGAAAUUCCUUCUCCCCUCAGGAGGCCUGCAGCUCACCAGCAUUAUCCUGUUUCCUCUCUGUCUCUCCUGCUGCUGUCUGUAGCCUUUCUUGGCCAGCUCUUUUCUCUCCACUUUUUAAAAAAUUUUUCCUUCUUUCUGGUCUCAUUUCUCUCCAGUUUUUCUGCUAUUACAGCAACACUUAUUUAUUUAUGGUCAGUAAACAUAUAAACCAUAUUAAGCCCUCAAUAAUUUGCUUUCUUAGUGUACCUUGGCUUCCCCACUCUUUUCUUCCUCCCACAUUGCUUCUGCUUGUAAAUUUCUUUCAGUCAAGUGUUGGAGUGGGAUGGCUAUCAACUCUCUAGAUCUUGAAAAGUGUGGUGUUCACAUACAGGUUGUAAUUGGAAUGUCAUGGUAUGGUGUGUUAGUCAAGGUUCCCCAGAGAAACAGAACCAGCAGGAGAUAGGUAGAUAGAUCUCAAUGAUGGAGAGAAGUCCCAAGAUUUGCAAUCAGCAAGCUGGAGAGCCAAUAGUGUGGUUUCAGUCCAAACCAUAAGAGGUUUGAGACCAGGAAAAACUGAGACCAGGAAAAGUUGGGAGUUCUAAGGCAAGGGGAAAAAAACGAUAUCCCAGCAGGCAGGCAGGCAGGGGGAAUUCUCACUGAUUUGGGGGAAAGUCAGCCUUUUUGUCCUAUUCAGGUCUUCAACUGGUGGGAUGAGGCCCAGCCACAUUAGGAAUUGAAAUUCGCUUUCUCAGUUUAUUGAUUUAAGUGUUAAUCUCAUGAAAAACACCUUCAUAGAAACACUCAGAAUACUAUUAAAAAAAUUAUCUGAGCAACUGUGGCCCAGUCAAAUUGACAUGUAAAAUUAUGACACAUAUUUUCCAAAUUAAAAUGCAGACUAUCCAAGAAGAUACAGUAUUGAGCUACUUUGGCAAUAAUAGCUUACAGUACAGGUCUUAAUAGUAGCUUUUCUAGUCGGUUCAAGUAGGUUUUAGCAUGGGCAGGGAGGGUUGGAGAGAGGGAAUGAGCUGAUCACUUUGAGAAUGUAGUGGUCUCAGCUGAAGGAAAUAGUGUGAUAGAUGAGAAAAGGGAAAACUAAAGGCUAAAAUGUGUUGCCCUCUUUAAACAUAUAGCUUUAAUUCUUGAGACUGGAAAGUCCCUAUUCUUAAUAUGCUGUAUGGUAUAUUCAAGUUUAAGGUAUGAUAUAGCUUAGCUCAGAAUUGAUAUGACUAUCCUUUUUAUGUACAUGCUUCAAGGGUGAAAUG